UGGGGAAUAUUGGACAAUGGAGGAAACUCUGAUCCAGCAAUUCUGUGUGUGUGAAGAAGGUUUUAGGACUGUAAAACACUUUUAGUAGGGAAGAAAAAAAUGACGGUACCUACAGAAGAAGCAACGGCUAAAUACGUGCCAGCAGCCGCGGUAAUACGUAUGUUGCGAGCGUUAUCCGGAAUUAUUGGGCUUAAAGGGCAUCUAGGCGGUAAGACAAGUUGAAGGUGAAAACCUGUGGCUCAACCAUAGGCUUGCCUACAAAACUGUUGAACUAGAGUACUGGAAAGGUGGGUGGAACUACACGAGUAGAGGUGAAAUUCGUAGAUAUGUGUAGGAAUGCCGAUGAUGAAGAUAACUCACUGGAGAGAAACUGACGCUGAAGUGCGAAAGCUAGGGGAGCAAACAGG
rnacentral:rRNA from 1 species